AAUUCAAGUUCGGACUGUUAGCUUAUAAAAAGAGGUGCAUUGUACCCAAUUUUUUAAUCAUCAGCUUUGCCUCUACAUGAUUCUAUAAUUCUCUGCACGUUCUCCUCCUCUCUGUCGGAUCGUUGGUCUGGCUAGCCGGACGAACUGGUCGCCUUAGAAACAAAGAAUCUGAUAUGGGUUGCAUCUGCAUAAGAAGUUUCAAGUCCGUAAAGAUCGGAAUUGACCAUUAGUUGAAGCUUCAUGCUAUUGGCACCACCAUGUUGAACAAGAUUGCUAUGUUGCUAGUCAUAUCUAUUAUGCGAUAUUGAAUCAUCAGGCUCCAAGAAAAAAUAUGAGAUUACUGCUCUUGUGCUGCACGUACUAUCGACAAAGAUCACCCAAGCAGAAUCAAGAGCUUCAUGCAGUCAGUUGAACUAAUGUCGGCUCCAAUUAUUUUUGUUUGCAGGUUCUGGUUGCAGCAUUGUUGACAUGUUACUUAACAAUGGAGAUUGAUAUUCAAGACAGAAUUUGGACGCAAGUCAAAGCUUUGUUCUAUCGGCACCAAUAUCUACCAUGUCGAAGUAUUGUGCUUCUCUUGAUAUCCGUCAUGCCAAAGUGAAGCUACGUGUUUCCGUCAUCUCCAUCCUUUUUUCCUCUUUUCUGCAGGUUUAUGAGGGAGUACAAAUGGUCUCGAUAUCAAAUCAAGAAGAUUCACCAUAUGUCACGUUGAACCAUUUGAUGUGUCACUUCCUUACUACUUGGCAAGGCUGCGAAAACACUUAUUCCCUGAUGUAUGAGCAAUGGAAUUUGAGCCGCUUGAUCCUAAAGAAACGGAACUUAAUUUCCUUCCAUAUAUCAAAAUUUCAUAUCAAAACUAAAUUAAUUUUUGAAGUCGAUUUUCAAAUAUGAUAUGUCUGUUUGGCAGCUUUGCACGAUCGUGGUAGAAAAUUCAUAACUCGGCGUAGGAUUGUCGGAAUCAUGAGAUUCUUGUUUAGACUUCAAGCACUACAAUAUAUGUAAAAAUCACAGCCAUAGGACUUAUGGAUUAUUACAGAUAUUGCCUCAAAGUCAGCUUAUAAAUCU